UGAAACAGCGGUCCUAGUCCGAUCACCGAAGUUAAGCAACAUCGAACCUUUUCAGUACUUAGAUGGGUGACAGCUAGGGAAUACCAGAUGCUGUAA